ACGGAAGGCAGCAGUGGGGAAUAUUGCACAAUGGGGGAAACCCUGAUGCAGCAACGCCGCGUGCGGGAAGACGGUCUUCGGAUUGUAAACCGCUUUUCUUAGUGAAGAAGAAGUGACGGUAGCUAAGGAAUAAGCAUCGGCUAACUACGUGCCAGCAGCCGCGGUAAUACGUAGGAUGCGAGCGUUGUCCGGAUUUACUGGGUGUAAAGGGAGCGCAGGCGGGACUGCAAGUUGGAUGUGAAAUGUCGAGGCUUAACCUCGGAACUGCAUCCAAAACUGUAGUUCUUGAGUGGAGUAGAGGCAAGCGGAAUUCCGAGUGUAGCGGUGAAAUGCGUAGAUAUUAGGAGGAACACCAGUGGCGAAGGCGACUUUCUGGACAGAAACUGACGUUGAGGCACGAAAGUGUGGGGAGCAAACAGGAUUAGAUACCCUGGUA
rnacentral:rRNA from 1 species